rnacentral:lncRNA from 1 species
GACUGCCCUCUCCGGGAAUCCUGCUCCAAAGGGGACGGGUUUCUCAGGGGACGAGGGCAUGGCCACGCAUGCGCCCCCAAGAGGCCGCCUCGUGUGUGCACUGCCUGGCUUUUCGAAAUAACACGUGGGCUUUGAGACUUAGGCCUCACAUCUCAACGGUACUGAAUGUCCCUGUCAUUCAGUCGUUAGUCCAUCUGUCCCUGUCGGGUUUCAGCCCCUGUCUUGAGAGCCAGAGGAAAAGUAAUAGAAAUAAAGUCCUUAUUCUCACUGCGCUGUUCCUAGGAGAAAAGCCACCUGCAGGAGCCCUGCUCAGGAGACCUCUGUUUUGUGACAUCCCCUGGGCGGGCAGUCCAGACUGGGUGAUGUUAUGGAUCUUGACACUACUAGAAAGCUGUCAUUUGUUGCUGACAUAAGGGAAAGGUAGCUUUCUGGGUGGCACCUAGGCCUGUUUCUGUUCUCUGAGCGACCUUCAGGUCUGAGUCGUGGUCAGAUCUCCAUUUAAUGAGCUCGAGCCUCCAAAGGACUUAGAAAGCCAGCAAUAAGUAAUGAUGAAGGACAGUGUCUUCCUGUAAGACCUUAUGCCUGGACUUCAUUGAAGAUAAUGGCAUCCUCCUCUUUUCUUCAUCCCUUAAUGCAGGAACCCAGCAAGUGUCCACGUGCAGAAGAGUUGCUUGUCCGCUGACAGGCAUGGCUUUGCAGUAAAUGCCAAGGCAUAGAUACUUCCAUCCCCUAAGCAAGAGUGAGACCUGGAAAUAGCGAGAGACCUAGGUGUGAAGUCCAGGCUGUUCUGUUGGUAACAGAAAGGCAUCUCUGCAUCUUCUUAAUUAAUGUCCCUCCUUGUUAUAAAGAUAAAUCUUAUGCUUGUGUGAAACUCAUACUGUAGAGGAGUCCUCCUGCCCUUACUCUGGCUUUAACUCCUUCCCACACAAGGUAACCUACUUCAUUUACAAUCCAGGAGGAGAGAUCCUUCAGUUUUCCUAUAUUUCUCAAUUAAGAACAGUAUGCAUCAGGCAGCAGAUUUUCUGUACCAAUGAAGUUAUACUUUGCGCAUUGUUCUAGAAAACACAUCACACUAUGAGAUGGUUAUCUCAUCUGUCACUUAUCUGUGUCUUUAAACAAUUUAAAGUAAAACACUUGUGAUUCAUCUUUACCUCUCACAAAUAAUAGAAAAUAAAAUGCUACACAUGGUGUC